rnacentral:rRNA from 1 species
UACGUAGGGGGCGAGCGUUGUCCGGAUUUAUUGGGCGUAAAGAGCGUGUAGGCGGUUCGGUAAGUCUGUCGUGAAAUCCUGAGGCUCAACCUCGGGCGUGCGAUGGAUACUGCCGGGCUAGAGGGUGGUAGAGGCGAGUGGAAUUCCCGGUGUAGCGGUGAAAUGCGCAGAUAUCAGGAGGAACACCGGUGGCGAAGGCGGAUCUCUGGGCCAUUACUGACGCUGAGGAGCGAAAGCGUGGGGAGCGAACAGG